AAGUCGUAACAAGGUUUCCGUAGGUGAACCUGCGGAAGGAUCAUUACAGAAUGUUCGGAGGACUGCUGCUGGCCUCUCGGGGCAUGUGCGCGUCCUCGCCUUCAUCCACACACACCUGUGCACGAAUAGAGCGGAGCCCCCCAUGGAGAGAAGGCCUCGGAAACGGGGCUGGGGUUCCUGUCUCUCUCCCAUUACAUCCUGUCUUACACGCAUGUGACGAAUUUCUUAAACGAAAUACAACUUUCAACAACGGAUCUCUUGGCUUUC
rnacentral:misc_RNA from 1 species